rnacentral:rRNA from 1 species
UGGGGAAUUUUGGACAAUGGGCGAAAGCCUGAUCCAGCAAUGCCGCGUGUGUGAAGAAGGCCUUCGGGUUGUAAAGCACUUUUGUCCGGAAAGAAAUCCUUGGCUCUAAUACAGUCGGGGGAUGACGGUACCGGAAGAAUAAGCACCGGCUAACUACGUGCCAGCAGCCGCGGUAAUACGUAGGGUGCAAGCGUUAAUCGGAAUUACUGGGCGUAAAGCGUGCGCAGGCGGUUUGCUAAGACCGAUGUGAAAUCCCCGGGCUCAACCUGGGAACUGCAUUGGUGACUGGCAGGCUAGAGUAUGGCAGAGGGGGGUAGAAUUCCACGUGUAGCAGUGAAAUGCGUAGAGAUGUGGAGGAAUACCGAUGGCGAAGGCAGCCCCCUGGGCCAAUACUGACGCUCAUGCACGAAAGCGUGGGGAGCAAACAGGAUUAGAUACCCUGGUAGUCCACGCCCUAAACGAUGUCAACUAGUUGUUGGGGAUUCAUUCCUUAGUAACGUAGCUAACGCGUGAAGUUGACCGCCUGGGGAGUACGGUCGCAAGAUUAAAACUCAAAUGAAUUGACGGGGUCAUAGCU